rnacentral:rRNA from 1 species
UACGUAGGGCGCAAGCGUUGUCCGGAUUCACUGGGUGUAAAGGGUGCGCAGGCGGAUUGGCAAGUCAGAAGUGAAAUCUUACGGCUCAACCGUGAAACUGCUUUUGAUACUGCUUAUCUUGAGUUCGGGAGAGGUUGAUGGAAUUCCAGGUGUAGCGGUGAAAUGCGUAGAUAUCUGGAAGAACACCAGUGGCGAAGGCGGUCAACUGGCCCGCAACUGACGCUCAUGCACGAAAGCGUGGGGAUCAAAC